CAAGUAAUUAAGUGCAUGUGGUGGAUGCCUUGGCAGUCAGAGGCGAUGAAAGACGUGAUAGCCUGCGAAAAGCUCCGGGGAGGCGGCAAAUAUCCUUUGAUCCGGAGAUGUCUGAAUGGGGGAACCCACCUACUUUAAGGUAGGUAUUGCAACAUGAAUACAUAGUGUUGCAAGGCGAACGAGGGGAAGUGAAACAUCUCAGUACCCUUAGGAAAAGAAAUCAAUUGAGAUUCCCUCAGUAGCGGCGAGCGAACGGGGAUCAGCCCAUUAAGUUAUGUGUGUUUUAGUGGAACGCUCUGGGAAGUGCGAACGUAGAGGGUGAUAUUCCCGUACACGAAAGGGCACACAUAAUGAUGACGAGUAGGGCGAGGCACGUGAAACCUUGUCUGAAUAUGGGGGGACCAUCCUCCAAGGCUAAAUACUCCUGACUGACCGAUAGUGAACCAGUACCGUGAGGGAAAGGCGAAAAGAACCCCUGUGAGGGGAGUGAAAUAGAUCCUGAAACCGCAUGCAUACAAGCAGUGGGAGCACCUUCGUGGUGUGACUGCGUACCUUUUGUAUAAUGGGUCAGCGACUUAUAUUCAGUAGCGAGGUUAACCGUAUAGGGGAGCCGUAGAGAAAUCGAGUCUUAAUAGGGCGUUUAGUUGCUGGGUAUAGACCCGAAACCAGGCGAUCUAUCCAUGAGCAGGUUGAAGGUUGGGUAACACUAACUGGAGGACCGAACCCACUGUCGUUGAAAAGCCAGGGGAUGACUUGUGGAUAGGGGUGAAAGGCUAAUCAAGCCUGGUGAUAGCUGGUUCUCCCCGAAAGCUAUUUAGGUAGCGCCUCGGACGAAUACCAUAGGGGGUAGAGCACUGUUUCGGCUAGGGGGUCAUCCCGACUUACCAAACCGAUGCAAACUCCGAAUACCUAUGAGUACUAUCCGGGAGACAGACUGCGGGUGCUAACGUCCGUAGUCAAGAGGAAAACAAUCCAGACCGCCAGCUAAGGCCCCAAAAUCAUAGUUAAGUGGGAAACGAUGUGGGAAGGCAUAGACAGCUAGGAGGUUGGCUUAGAAGCAGCCACCCUUUAAAGAAAGCGUAAUAGCUCACUAGUCGAGUCGGCCUGCGCGGAAGAUGUAACGGGGCUAAAACUAUGUGCCGAAGCUGCGGAUGUAUACUUUGUAUACGUGGUAGGGGAGCGUUCUGUAAGCCGAUGAAGGUGUGUUGAGAAGCAUGCUGGAGGUAUCAGAAGUGCGAAUGCUGACGUGAGUAACGACAAAACGGGUGAAAAACCCGUUCGCCGAAAGACCAAGGGUUCCAGUCCAACGUUAAUCGGGGCUGGGUGAGUCGACCCCUAAGGCGAGGCCGAAAGGCGUAGUCGAUGGGAAAAUGGUUAAUAUUCCAUUACUUCUGUGUAAUGCGAUGAGAGGACGGAGAAGGCUAAAUCAGCCUGGCGUUGGUUGUCCAGGUGAAAGGAUGUAGGCAUGUAUCUUAGGCAAAUCCGGGGUACUCUAUGCUGAGAUCUGAUAGCAAGCUGUACUUGUACAGCGAAGUGGUUGAUGCCAUGCUUCCAGGAAAAGUCUCUAAGCUUCAGUUACACAGGAAUCGUACCCGAAACCGACACAGGUGGUCAGGUCGAGUAGACCAAGGCGCUUGAGAGAACUCUGCUGAAGGAACUAGGCAAAAUGGUACCGUAACUUCGGGAGAAGGUACGCUGUUGUUGGUGAUGGAACUCGCUUCCUGAGCUGACGACAGCCGCAGAAACCAGGCCGCUGCAACUGUUUAUUAAAAACAUAGCACUCUGCAAACACGAAAGUGGACGUAUAGGGUGUGAUGCCUGCCCGGUGCUGGAAGGUUAAUUGAUGGGGUUAGCGUAAGCGAAGCUCUUGAUCGAAGCCCCAGUAAACGGCGGCCGUAACUAUAACGGUCCUAAGGUAGCGAAAUUCCUUGUCGGGUAAGUUCCGACCUGCACGAAUGGCAUAAUGAUGGCGGCGCUGUCUCCAGCAGAGGCUCAGUGAAAUCGAAAUCGCUGUGAAGAUGCAGUGUACCCGCGGCUAGACGGAAAGACCCCGUGAACCUUUACUGCAGCUUGACACUGAACUUUGACCUUACUUGUGUAGGAUAGGUGGGAGGCUUUGAAGCUGGAACGCUAGUUCCAGUGGAGCCGUCCUUGAAAUACCACCCUGGUAAUGUUGAGGUUCUAACUCUGUCCCGUGAUCCGGGACGAGGACCGUGUCUGGUGGGUAGUUUGACUGGGGCGGUCUCCUCCUAAAGAGUAACGGAGGAGUACGAAGGUGCGCUCAGCGUGGUCGGAAAUCACGCGUAGAGUAUAAAGGCAAAAGCGCGCUUAACUGCGAGACCCACAAGUCGAGCAGGUACGAAAGUAGGUCUUAGUGAUCCGGUGGUUCUGUAUGGAAGGGCCAUCGCUCAACGGAUAAAAGGUACUCUGGGGAUAACAGGCUGAUACCGCCCAAGAGUUCAUAUCGACGGCGGUGUUUGGCACCUCGAUGUCGGCUCAUCUCAUCCUGGGGCUGAAGCAGGUCCCAAGGGUAUGGCUGUUCGCCAUUUAAAGAGGUACGCGAGCUGGGUUUAGAACGUCGUGAGACAGUUCGGUCCCUAUCUACCGUGGGCGCUGGAAAUUUGAGAGGAUCUGCUCCUAGUACGAGAGGACCAGAGUGGACGAACCUCUGGUGUACCGGUUGUGACGCCAGUCGCAUCGCUGGGUAGCUAUGUUCGGAAGGGAUAACCGCUGAAAGCAUCUAAGCGGGAAGCCUACCUCAAGAUAAGAUUUCCCUAGGACUUUAUGUCCUCUAAAGAGCCGUUCGAGACUAGGACGUUGAUAGGUUGGAUGUGGAAGCAUAGUGAUAUGUGAAGCUGACCAAUACUAAUUGCUCGUGAGGCUUGACUA
rnacentral:rRNA from 2 species